AGAGUUUGAUCCUGGCUCAGGACGAACGCUGGCGGCGUGCCUAAUACAUGCAAGUCGAGCGGACUAAUGGGAGCUUGCUCCCAGAGGUUAGCGGCGGACGGGUGAGUAACACGUGGGCAAUCUGCCCUGUAGACUGGGAUAACACCGAGAAAUCGGUGCUAAUACCGGAUAAUAUUUGAGAUCUCCUGAUCUCAUAUUAAAAGAUGGCUCCGGCUAUCACUACAGGAUGGGCCCGCGGCGCAUUAGCUAGUUGGUGAGGUAAUGGCUCACCAAAGCGACGAUGCGUAGCCGACCUGAGAGGGUGAUCGGCCACACUGGGACUGAGACACGGCCCAGACUCCUACGGGAGGCAGCAGUAGGGAAUCUUCCGCAAUGGACGAAAGUCUGACGGAGCAACGCCGCGUGAGUGAUGAAGGAUUUCGGUUCGUAAAGCUCUGUUGUUAGGGAAGAACAAGUGCCGUUCAAAUAGGGCGGCACCUUGACGGUACCUAACCAGAAAGCCACGGCUAACUACGUGCCAGCAGCCGCGGUAAUACGUAGGUGGCAAGCGUUGUCCGGAAUUAUUGGGCGUAAAGCGCGCGCAGGCGGUCUUUUAAGUCUGAUGUGAAAGCCCACGGCUCAACCGUGGAGGGUCAUUGGAAACUGGGAGACUUGAGUACAGAAGAGGAGAGUGGAAUUCCACGUGUAGCGGUGAAAUGCGUAGAUAUGUGGAGGAACACCAGUGGCGAAGGCGACUCUCUGGUCUGUAACUGACGCUGAGGCGCGAAAGCGUGGGGAGCAAACAGGAUUAGAUACCCUGGUAGUCCACGCCGUAAACGAUGAGUGCUAGGUGUUAGGGGUUUCGAUGCCCUUAGUGCCGAAGUUAACACAUUAAGCACUCCGCCUGGGGAGUACGACCGCAAGGUUGAAACUCAAAUGAAUUGACGGGGGC
rnacentral:rRNA from 1 species